ensembl:snRNA LOC120095796 U2 spliceosomal RNA
AUCGCUUCUCGGCCUUUUGGCUAAGAUCAAGUGUAGAAACACUGAGCAUUCUGAUAGGUUAUCCAAUCUCAGGUGAUCAACCUUAAACACUUAUAUAUUGGAAUAUACGAAAUUAACUCUGCAGGCUGUUGAUACAGAUACAAAUGUAUGUAUACAUGUACAUAUGAAUGUUU